AAUAAAGUAGUCGUGCACAACACCAGAACAACCCCACGUGCCCAUAAUUUGCGGUACUUCAGAAAAAAAAGGAGUGAACAUAAAAGGGAGUAAAAUGUUGUGGCAGGUAAUUUCAAAUGCAGCAUUUCUAUCACCUCAACAAACACUAACUGUGUCACAGUGUGUUGCUAGCUAAAGCUCCACUUGCUGUAUUUCACAGGAAGAGAAAAGAAUGAGAGCUAACUUCACUCAGAGAUAUAGAAAGAAAGAGAAAGAAACCAGGCUGUAUUUAAAGACGUCUUGAAAACAAGUUUUAACAAAGUCCUGGAGAAGUGCCCAAUGCUGGAGGACCUCCUGCUUUACCCCUGGCUCAGAUAAACUCCUCUCUGACACAAACACACACGCAUACUGAAUUCACAUCUUGCCAUACAAAUGUGAUACAGUAACCAACUUUCUUUCUUUCAGAAAAAAAGAAAAUUGGGAGAUUCAAAAUUUUCCUCACAGUAAUGUUUGCAUCAGUCUAUCAGAUGAAUCCCCUCCAAGUCCAAUAUUUACAUCAGUUACAGUGAUAAUGCUUGGUGUCUACUUUCAGCCACCGCAGUAGAAUGCCAGGAAUGAAUCUCAUUGAAAUUGUAGUUGCAUUUGCUAUUUAAUUUAAUUGUCAUGGAUGAUACACAGACAACCCAACAGCAAACAGAGGAAAACAAUGGGCUUAAAUACACAGAGGGAUAAAUGAGGGAAUAAGACACAGGAUGAGAGCACAGCUGCGAGAAAUCACAAACAACAAGACCAUGGGGAAGAAAAACUGAGGAGCUUAGAAAGAAAACGUCUGGACUUCUUUAAGUUGCUUGAAGACGUUCAAGCAAAGUUUAAGUUCUUUUCAUCCCAGAAGGUGAAACAUCUUCAAGCAACUUCAAGUCCAGACGCUUUCUUUCCAAACUCCUUAGACUACGAUGACCUAGAUGACUGAGAACCUUCACAGACAUGAAAACACUAACAUAGCACACAAGACUAUCAAAGUAAAACAGCAAACAAGAGACUUUUACAAAGACACAGAGUUGACACAGAGACAUGACUGACUGGGGAGAAAUUGGGCAACAUGGAAAGAAGAAUGACUAGACAUGACACGUGGGACACAGGGGCAAGGCAAAGUAACAGAAACCUAAAGCCUAAGAAUAUAACACAAGAAGAAAACAAUAAAGAGAACCAAAAACAUACAUAAGAAUAAUCAAUGAAUAUAAAUGAACAAACACAAAACACUGGGUCACAGACUCAGUACCAUGACAGUUAAAUGUACAAUAAUAAAUACUUUAAAUCAGAUGACAAUGUAGCUGACACUGUGUUUAUUAGUGUGUGGUCAACCACAAAUCUUCAUACUGUCAUCCAUACAUGAGGUCUUUAUACAAACGAUGAAAGAUAAUGAAAGAAACUGUUUAAUUGAUAUGAAAUGAUUGAAUUAUAUGAAAUAUUAUGGCUUUGUCUGCCAGAGUGU